AUUGAACGCUGGCGGCAUGCCUUACACAUGCAAGUCGAACGGCAGCACGGGGGCAACCCUGGUGGCGAGUGGCGAACGGGUGAGUAAUGCAUCGGAACGUGCCCAGUAGUGGGGGAUAACCAGUCGAAAGACUGGCUAAUACCGCAUACGACCUACGGGUGAAAGCGGGGGACCGUAAGGCCUCGCGCUAUUGGAGCGGCCGAUGUCUGAUUAGCUAGUUGGCGGGGUAAGAGCCCACCAAGGCGACGAUCAGUAGCUGGUCUGAGAGGACGACCAGCCACACUGGGACUGAGACACGGCCCAGACUCCUACGGGAGGCAGCAGUGGGGAAUUUUGGACAAUGGGCGCAAGCCUGAUCCAGCCAUGCCGCGUGCGGGAAGAAGGCCUUCGGGUUGUAAACCGCUUUUGGCAGGAACGAAACGGCGCAAGCCAAUACCUUGCGCUAAUGACGGUACCUGCAGAAUAAGCACCGGCUAACUACGUGCCAGCCGCCGCCGUAAUAC
rnacentral:rRNA from 1 species